AGUAAAGAAUCGCUAAUGUACCCCGGACUCUGGGAUAGCCGGCCGAAAGGCCGGGUAAUACCAGAUGAUAUAACCUUCCUGCAUGGGAGGGUUCUCAAAGGUCCGCCGGUCUGGGAGCAGGCGAUUUCGUAUCAGCUAGUUGGUGAGGUAAUGGCUCACCAAGGCGACGACGCGUAGCCGGACUGAGAGGUUGGCCGGCCACAUUGGGACUGAGACACUGCCCAG
rnacentral:rRNA from 1 species